rnacentral:rRNA from 1 species
AAGAGGAAACAAUUCUCUCUGAAUCUGCGAACGGCUCCGCACACCAGUUGUAAACUAUAGCAAGCAUGCUCGGCGUUCGGCCUUCACGGGCCGAGUGUCGGGCGAUAAGGAUAACCCUGGUAAUUCUGAGGCUAAUACGAGACCGUAAUCCCUGGCUGACUGGGCAACCGGGAGGCUGGGGGACGUGCAAGUGGGUCGCAAGGAUGACCGGGAAAGAAUGCACGUUCUGACCGCGACACAAACGGACUAUCUUCGGGGUAGCCCGAGCGGCUCUUGCGAUGUGCUUCUGACCUAUCAACUAGAUGGCAGCGUAACGGACAUGCUAUGGUUGCAACGGGUACAGAGGAUUAGGGUUCGAUCCUGGAGAGUGGGCCUGAGAGAUUGCUCACACUUCUAAGGAAGGCAGCAGGCGCGCAACGUUCCCCUUGGGCAAUGCUCGAGGGCGUUAGGGGACAUAUGAAUGCUUGGCCAAUGGUAGGCAAUUCAAAUGGGUCUGUUGUAAACAGCCCUUCGAGUAACAAUUAGAGGACAA